GCUUACGACCACACCCGCCUGAGUACGCUGAUCUCGUCUGAUCUCGGAAGCUAAGCAGGGUCGGGCCUGGUUAGUACUUGGAUGGGAGACCGCCUGGGAAUACCAGGUGCUGUAAGCU
rnacentral:rRNA from 1 species